rnacentral:rRNA from 1 species
GACGAACGCUGGCGGCGUGCUUAACACAUGCAAGCCGAACGGUAAGGCUCCAGCUUGCUGGGGUACACGAGUGGCGAACGGGUGAGUAACACGUGGGUGACCUGCCCUGCACUUCGGGAUAAGCCUGGGAAACUGGGUCUAAUACCGGAUAGGACCAUGGUGUGGAUACUGUGGUGGAAAGUUUUUUCGGUGUGGGAUGGGCCCGCGGCCUAUCAGCUUGUUGGUGGGGUAAUGGCCUACCAAGGCGGCGACGGGUAGCCGGCCUGAGAGGGUGGACGGCCACAUUGGGACUGAGACACGGCCCAGACUCCUACGGGAGGCAGCAGUGGGGAAUAUUGCACAAUGGGCGGAAGCCUGAUGCAGCGACGCCGCGUGGGGGAUGACGGCCUUCGGGUUGUAAACUCCUUUCACCAUCGACGAAGGGUUUCUGACGGUAGAUGGAGAAGAAGCACCGGCUAACUACGUG